AUGCAAGUCGAACGGUAACAGGUCUUCGGAUGCUGACGAGUGGCGAACGGGUGAGUAAUACAUCGGAACGUGCCCGAUCGUGGGGGAUAACGAAGCGAAAGCUUUGCUAAUACCGCAUACGAUCUACGGAUGAAAGCAGGGGACCGCAAGGCCUUGCGCGAACGGAGCGGCCGAUGGCAGAUUAGGUAGUUGGUGGGAUAAAAGCUUACCAAGCCGACGAUCUGUAGCUGGUCUGAGAGGACGACCAGCCACACUGGGACUGAGACACGGCCCAGACUCCUACGGGAGGCAGCAGUGGGGAAUUUUGGACAAUGGGCGAAAGCCUGAUCCAGCCAUGCCGCGUGCAGGAUGAAGGCCUUCGGGUUGUAAACUGCUUUUGUACGGAACGAAAAGACUCUGGUUAAUACCUGGGGUCCAUGACGGUACCGUAAGAAUAAGCACCGGCUAACUACGUGCCAGCAGCCGCGGUAAUACGUAGGGUGCAAGCGUUAAUCGGAAUUACUGGGCGUAAAGCGUGCGCAGGCGGUUAUAUAAGACAGAUGUGAAAUCCCCGGGCUCAACCUGGGAACUGCAUUUGUGACUGUAUAGCUAGAGUACGGCAGAGGGGGAUGGAAUUCCGCGUGUAGCAGUGAAAUGCGUAGAUAUGCGGAGGAACACCGAUGGCGAAGGCAAUCCCCUGGGCCUGUACUGACGCUCAUGCACGAAAGCGUGGGGAGCAAACAGG
rnacentral:rRNA from 1 species